GUCUUUAUUAGCAGAAUGAGAACGGACUAAUACAGAAGCCAAAUAAAAGACAGUGAAGCAACCCAGCCAUUCCUGAUUUCUGAAAACCUCUGCCACCCCUCGGCUGGAGGAAAUUACACCAGAACUAGGGGCUGGGAUCACUGAAGUUAAGCUGGAACAAGGUAGGCCCGUUCAGCAAGAACUAGAGCCAUAAAGGAAAUGCAGCCACUACUAGUGAAGCCACCCAAGAAGUGAAGAAUGAGGAGAAAUACCCGAGACUUUCUUCCUGCCCUCCAGUAGAUUCCACAAUUCCACUGUUACUACUGCAGCUGGUGCUCUUUUGCAUGCACCAUUUCCUGGCUGGAGGCCAACUGACAAAGUCCAUUACAUCAUCUCCAGGUAGAAUAACACUGCACCCAGGAGGGAGAAAACUUGUGCAUGACCUCAGCUAUCACCAUUGCCUAUACUACCGUGGCUAACCAGGAGGUCCUGAGUCUGUCAACAUAACCUUUUCAUUACUACUACAACCAUCAUUUGAGAAAACCAACACAUUAAGGCUAUCCAUAACCAAGGAAUCUCACACCUGCCCACUGGUGCCUUCUGUAGAUGGAUCACAACCGGAAGCCAGCAGAAAGGACCUCUGUCAGAUGCAGCCUGUAGGGGUCAGCCCCCUUGCCCAAGACACAGCAGAUGAAGGGUGAGGAGUGGAGCUAAGGAAAAAAUAGCAGCUUUAUAGUAUGGCAGCCGAUAAAGGAUUAAAAACAAAGCAUCAAAAAUGACCUCAGACCAAGAAAUAAAGAGCAAGAGUCAGAGGAAAUCCAAAGCAACUCCAUUUCCCUGAUGCAAACUUCAUCCUUCUCUGAAUGGCCCCCUCUCACUUGUUUCCUGACCUCAGCACUAACCUCAUACAACAAAGGAGACUUCUCUUCUGAUUCUUUUGUUUCUAUUAUUCCCGCCCUUCCCACACUAAAUAAGGAAUUGCAGAAACAAUGGAGGGUGACUUCAGAAGGUAGGUUAUAAAAAGGCACCAUGGCUUCUGCCUUGCUCUCAUGUCACUGCCUCUGGGGAAAACCAGCUGCCAUGUUGUGAGGAUGCUGAAGCAGUCCUAGGGACAGGCCCUCAUGGGAAGGAACUGGGGCCUUUUGCCAACAACCAGCACUGCCUGCCAGGCAUGUGAACGAACCACCUUGGAGGCAGAUCCUUCAGCCACAGUUGAGCCCUCAGAAGGCUGCAGCUCUGCCGGGCAUGGUGGCUCACGCUUGUAAUCCCAGCAUUUUGGGAGGCCGAGGCAGGCAGAUCACAAGGUCAGGAGUUCAAGACCAGCCUGGCCAGCAUGGUGAAACCCCAUCUCUACUAAAAUUAGCUGGGCAUAGUGGUGUGCGCCUGUAGUCCCAGCUACUCGGGAGGCUGAGGCAGGAGAAUUGCUUGAACCCGGGAGGCGGAGGUUGCCGUGAGCUGAGAUCGCACCACUGCACUCCAGGCUGGGCGACAGAGUGAGACUCCAUCUCAAAAAAAAAAAAAAGGCUGCAGCUCUGACUGACAUCUUGACUGCAACUUCAGCAGAGACCUUGAGCCGGAGUACCUGGAAAAUCUGCUCCUGGACUCCUGACCCACAGAAAAUAUUAAUUUUUAAUCCAUUAAAGGUGAGAAAACUUAUUAUAUAGCAAUAGGCAAUGAAUACAAAAAGUAACCUGAAUAUGUGACUAAUAAUAAGACAGAUUUGGUCAGAAAAGUAGCCAGAUUCUAGUUGCUGAACUUGCUCCUAGUGUGGGGAGAGGAGAGACUGAGGUAAGAGGGGAGACCAGUAUAUUUGACAUAGUUGUCUUUUAAAAGACCAUAAAUAUGUUCUUUAACUUUAGGUAUAUAUUAUUGCUGUCUUUUCUUUCCUCCACUUUCUUUCAUAAACAGGAUCUAAGCAGGCUGAUGUUACCAGGGCAUCCACCUCCCUGGAUUUAGAGCUACUGAGAUCACUGGAGAAGCACUUGAGUAUGAAUGAAGGACAGAGUCAUUUUCUUUCUUUUGAUAUAAAAAAAUACAUUCUAGGCCAG
rnacentral:lncRNA from 10 species